CCUACGGGGGGCUACAGUGGGGAAUAUUGGACAAUGGGCGAAAGCCUGAUCCAGCCAUGCCGCGUGUGUGAAGAAGGCCUUCGGGUUGUAAAGCACUUUCAGUGGGGAAGAAAGCCUUGGGGCUAAUACCCUCGAGGAAGGACAUCACCCACAGAAGAAGCACCGGCUAACUCCGUGCCAGCAGCCGCGGUAAUACGGAGGGUGCGAGCGUUAAUCGGAAUUACUGGGCGUAAAGCGCGCGUAGGCGGUCUGAUAAGCCGGUUGUGAAAGCCCCGGGCUCAACCUGGGAACGGCAUCCGGAACUGUCAGGCUAGAGUGCAGGAGAGGAAGGUAGAAUUCCCGGUGUAGCGGUGAAAUGCGUAGAGAUCGGGAGGAAUACCAGUGGCGAAGGCGGCCUUCUGGACUGACACUGACGCUGAGGUGCGAAAGCGUGGGUAGCAAACAGGAUUAGAUACCCCGGUAGUC
rnacentral:rRNA from 1 species